rnacentral:tRNA from 1 species
UGGCUCAGAGGUUAAGAGCACUGGGUUGCUCUUCCAGAGGUUCUGAGUUCAAUUCCCAG